CUAGAGAGUGAUCAGUUGCACACUGGUGGAGCCAUGAAAGUAUCAGGUGAUACAGGCACCACUCAGUACCACCCUGGUGACAAAAUCAAGUGCACGGGGGAGGGGGAGGAAUCAAC
rnacentral:snoRNA from 1 species